rnacentral:pre_miRNA from 1 species
GUCUCUAGGGUACAUCUUACCUGACAGUGCUUGGCUGUUCACUGAUGUUCUAACACUGUCUGGUAACGAUGCACUCUGGUGAC